rnacentral:rRNA from 1 species
UAGGGAAUCUUCCACAAUGGACGCAAGUCUGAUGGAGCAACGCCGCGUGAGUGAAGAAGAUCUUCGGAUCGUAAAACUCUGUUGUUAGGGAAGAACACGAGUGAGAGUAACUGUUCAUUCGAUGACGGUAUCUAACCAGCAAGUCACGGCUAACUACGUGCCAG